CUUUAAACUGGUGGAAUCUGAUGGUAAUCCCAGAAAUGGAUCAAAUGGUUGAACAGCCAGCUGGUGUCACAGAAUGGCUUGGCCUCAGGAAAGAUCUCAGAGGAAUAUGAACAAAACCUGCAGUGCACAGGAAAUAAUCUGCAGGGAAGAGGAUGUUAAUGUUAUACAUCUGUGUCCAACACCCUCCCCACCCAUGUGGCUGGUUGAUUCAUGCCCCAGGUUUCAAGUGCCAUCUCUUCUAAAGUCUUCAUCUAUUUCUAUAGCUAGAAGUAAUCCUACCUACUUUACAAAAUUAGAAGAUCAAAGAACAUGUGGG
rnacentral:lncRNA from 1 species